UACGUAGGGUGCGAGCGUUAAUCGGAAAUUACUGGGCGUAAAGGGUGCGCAGGCGGCGUCGCAAGUCAGGCGUGAAAUCCCCGGGCUUAACCUGGGAAUUGCACUUGAAACUACCGAUGCUGGAGUAUGGCAGAGGGGAGUGGAAUUCCACGUGUAGCGGUGAAAUGCGUAGAGAUGGGAGUGGACGGAAGUCGCCGAAGUGGCUCCAAUCGGCCGGCCUCCGUUCGGG
rnacentral:rRNA from 1 species